UCCUUCAGGGGUUAUGCCAGUGCAUGCUGGUAUAUGCAACUACACUCCAAACGAAACCAGAAAUGAGACAACACUUCAAUCGUACUAUGUUGGCAACACGAUCCAAGGUAAAGGAGGAAACCAGGGCUACUAAUUUUGCUUAGUUAAAGAAAAGUGUUGAAUCAGAAGAGCAAAAGAGAAAAAUCUAAAAUAUGUAUGGGAUUGGUUUUACCUUGUUAAUGAGAGGAUUUUGUUGAACGACCCUUUGGAGGCCGUGGUCGGUAACGUGCAUGCAGUUGAUGAGAGCGAGAGUUUUGAGCCUACCAUUGGCCUUUGAGGUGAUUUUGAUUAGAAUCUCAUCGUUGAGUCGCCAACUGAGGGGCCUUUGAACAAUAACAUUCAACCAUAGUAAUAUGUCAUUGUUCACUGCAUCCCUUAGUGAUGUGCAGACUUGAGACAUGACCACAACCUCGUACACAGGAAGAUAUGACAAGACAAGAAACAAAGCCUCGUGAGGAGCCUUUGCUUCACUUGCUUCCUGCUCAACCUCAACCGCCUUGGAGGACUCUUCCAUAUGAAAUCAAGACUUGAUACUUACGUGGAUAUGUCAGGCGAUUAUAUGAGUUGGCGAGGGAGGAACACACAAUGUCAUACGUUAGCUAUAUGUGGUUGAAGGUAUGCCAGCAACGCAUGAGAAAUGUUCACUUUUCCCUUUAAUCCCACUCA